rnacentral:lncRNA from 1 species
GGAGUUUUGGAAGUAGGCAACGCAACAUCUUUGACCAGAAGAAACUUUAUACUUAACAAAGGCGUAGAGUGCAGCAAGCUUGGUGGGCGGAUCAAGUGCGUAUUGAUUUGGCGAGCGUGUGACAGAACCGAGGAUGGAGAGAUGCGACCGCAAACCGACGUUUUCUCGGCCAUUACGCUGCCAUGAUAAGAGAUGCCUUUCCUUGUCGAUGAAUUAUUCCUCGAAGCGGGUUAGAUAUGAAAACAAGGAUAAAGAGAGAAGGAAUGUUAGUGAUUGUUACAUGCUUUAUGGCAGUAUUGGCGUACAUUGAAGUCAUACAAAAUUCGCUCUUUGGAUUCCCACGAUAACAAUCCCUGAAACUAA